GAAGGGGGCUAGCGUUGCUCGGAAUCACUGGGCGUAAAGGGCGCGUAGGCGGCCGAUCAAGUCGGGGGUGAAAGCCUGUGGCUCAACCACAGAAUUGCCUUCGAUACUGUUUGGCUUGAGACCGGAAGAGGUGAGUGGAACUGCGAGUGUAGAGGUGAAAUUCGUAGAUAUUCGCAAGAACACCAGUGGCGAAGGCGGCUCACUGGUCCGGUUCUGACGCUGAGGCGCGAAAAGCGUGGGGAGCAAACAGGAUUAGAUACCCUGGUAGUCCACGCCGUAAACGAUGGAUGCUAGCCGUUGGCCAGCUUGCUGGUCAGUGGCGCAGUUAACGCUUUAAGCAUCCCGCCUGGGA
rnacentral:rRNA from 1 species